GAGCUUAUGAUGAUAAUUUAAAUUAUCUUAGCGGAUUUCAGUGAGAUUUAAUAUAAUUGAAUCAAUGAUCUGUUUGUUACACACACUGAGGCUC